rnacentral:rRNA from 1 species
AGCGAACGCUGGCGGCAGGCCUAACACAUGCAAGUCGAACGAACCUUUCGGGGUUAGUGGCGGACGGGUGAGUAACACGUGGGAACGUGCCUUUAGGUUCGGAAUAACUCAGGGUAACAUGUGCUAAUACCGAAUGUGCCCUUCGGGGGAAAGAUUUAUCGCCUUUAGAGCGGCCCGCGACUGGUUAGCUUGUUGGUUGAGGUAAUGGCUCACCAAGGCGACGAUCAGUAGGUGGUCGGAGAGGAUGAUCAGCCACAUUGGGACUGAGACACGGCCCAAACUCCUACGGGAGGCAGCAGUGGGGACUCUUGCGCAAUGGGCGAAAGCCUGACGCAGCCAUGCCGCGUGAAUGAUGAAGGUCUUAGGAUUGUAUAAUUCUUUCACCGGGGACGAUAAUGACGGUACCCGGAGAAGAAGCCCCGGCUAACUUCGUG